rnacentral:lncRNA from 1 species
CUCCCUUUGGGGACCAUUUUCUUUCAAACGACUACACCCAACUAGCCUAGAAUUCAUUUCAUAGUCCAUGAUGGCCUCAAACUUGAGAUGCCCCUACCCCAACUUCCCAAGUACUGGGAUUUUUACCAGUCUGCAGAACUAUGCCUGGCUUUCUUCAAUAGAUUUUUAAAAAUUAUUUAUUUUUAUUUUAUGUGUGUUGGUGUUUUACCUGCAUGUAUGUCUGUGUAAAGAUGUCAGAUCCCCUGGAAGUAAAGUUACAGGCAGUUGUGAGCUGCCGUGUGAGUGCUGGGAAUUGAACCCAGGUCUUCUGAGAGAGCAGUCAGUGCUCUUAACUGCUGAGCCACCUUUCCAGCCCCUCCAUUAGAUUCUUAAUAAGAUGAGCUCAUUCCAUCACCCUCGUGGGCCUCAAACUUGUCAUCUUCUGUCUCAAAUUCCCAAGUGCCACUGUUACAGCAAUGUGUGACCACAUUCAGAUUUCUAUAUUGGUUUUCUUAUGGCUUUUAAAAAUAACCAGCCUAUAUAUGUUCAUCAUCUAGAGGACUGUUCCCAAAAAGAGAUGAGGGGCUGCUGAGGUGGAAAAGAUUACAAACUAUAUGGUUUCUGUCCAAAAAUUAAGUCUCAGAGUGAGAUCAGGUACUGCUUUCACUAGAAUUUCGCUCAGGCCUUGUUUGUAGUGUGUUAUUGCAGGAGUCCUUUUUCCCAUCAGGUCAGUCACCCUGUAGCUCAAACACACAGUGCUGAUAACUGCUCUGGCUUGGGAAUAAAGAUAGAACUGGCUUCCACAGGGAAAUGAUGUACUGAGCUGCAACAACAAAUCUUGCACAGAAUCUGUCAGCAGGGACCACCUGGAUUCCCGCCUCCGGGACCUUCAGCAGCAGGUUUACAUGGCCCAGAAGCUUCUCAGAGAUGGUAAACUAGAGAAAGCCGUUCAACAGUUAUUGGGAUGCCGGGAGGCCGCCGAGAGCUUCCUAUCAGCAGAACACACUGUGGUGGGGGAAAUUGAAGACAGCCUGGCCCAGGCCUAUGCUGCCUUAGGAGACUGGCAAACGUCUGCUACCCAUGUACGGAAGAGUGUUCGUGUAGUUGAAGCUCGCCAUGGACCUUCCAGUGUUGAAAUCGGCCAUGAGCUCUUCAAACUGGCCCAGGUCCUGUUCAAUGGGUAGGUCUUUCCUCUUCCUAGCACUUGGCCAGGGCACGUCCUGUUCUGCUUUUGUGGAUGACUUUGCUACAGUGAUUUUCAGAUGUUGAAACCUUUCCUUCUGUCUCCUCCUUAGGACAGAUCGUUGCCCUCUGUUUCACUGACAGGCUUUAAGCUUUGAAUUUUCUCCUGAGAGAUGUGAAGAAAGCUCUUAGUUCUCAAUUGAGUUUCCCAGGGAGGGCUUCCAGGCAGCCUCACCCGCCCUCUAGCAUUCCUCUGGGCUUAAUCACACCCCCUUGGCUUACUCAUUCCCAGCAUUCUCAACUCCAGGGCCUCUGCCUUUUCCCAAGUUUGCGUCCUAUUCCUUUUAAAGCAGUUGUUUUCAAGCAGAAGAAAUUCUGCCUUCAGAUAGCAUUGGCCAAUGUCUGGAGACAGUUUUGGUUGUUAUGGACCGAGGGAGGGUACUGCCAGCAUCCUAGUGGGUAAAGGCUAACCCUGAGUGCACAGGACACCCUCAACAGUAGAGUUACCAAGUAGUUACGUCAAGGUUAAGAAUUGCUGCUUUAAAGGUUAAAAAAGGAAGCUGGGGGAAUGGUUCAGUUGUAGCCCACUUGCCUAGCAUGCACAAGGCCCUGGGUUCCGUCCCUGGCACUGCACAGAAGAAG